rnacentral:rRNA from 1 species
CCUACGGGAGGCAGCAGUAAGGAAUAUUGCGCAAUGGGCGAAAGCCUGACGCAGCGACGCCGCGUGGGGGAUGAAGGUCUUCGGAUUGUAAACCCCUUUCGGGAGGGAAGAUGGAGCGAGCAAUCGUUCGGACGGUACCUCCAGAAGCAGCCACGGCCAACUUCGUGCCAGCAGCCGCGGUAAUACGAAGGUGGCAAGCGUUGUUCGGAUUCACUGGGCGUACAGGGUGUGUAGGCGGUUUGGUAAGCCUUCUGUUAAAGCUUCGGGCCCAACCCGGAAAGCGCAGAGGGUACUGCCAGGCUAGAGGGUGGGAGAGGAGCGCGGAAUUCCCGGUGUAGCGGUGAAAUGCGUAGAGAUCGGGAGGAAGGCCGGUGGCGAAGGCGGCGCUCUGGAACAUACCUGACGCUGAGACACGAAAGCGUGGGGAGCAAACAGGAUUAGAUACCCUGGUAGUCCACGCCCUAAACUAUGGAUACUAAGUGUCGGCGGGUUACCGCCGGUGCCGCAGCUAACGCAUUAAGUAUCCCGCCUG